rnacentral:rRNA from 1 species
AUUGAACGCUGGCGGAAUGCUUUACACAUGCAAGUCGAGCGGCAGCGCGGGGCAACCUGGCGGCGAGCGGCGAACGGGUGAGUAAUGUAUCGGAACGUAUCCUUAAGUGGGGGACAACUAGUCGAAAGACUAGCUAAUACCGCAUACGAUCGAGAGAUGAAAGUGGGGGACCGCAAGGCCUCACGCUUUUGGAGCGGCCGAUAUCCGAUUAGCUUGUUGGUGAGGUAAAGGCUUACCAAGGCUAUGAUCGGUAGCUGGUCUGAGAGGAUGAUCAGCCACACUGGGACUGAGACACGGCCCAGACUCCUAGGGGAGGCAG